rnacentral:sRNA from 1 species
UAUUCUGCCCUACGGGGAAUGAUGAGAAGCUUCGACUAAGGUUCGACUCGAGCGUAGCGAGAGAACGUUGCCGCAGGCAACGGCCCGAAGGGCGAGGCGCUUUAGCGCCGAGUUAUCCAUCCCCCACCACCA